CCACCACUAAGCCAGUGGUGAACUCCACAUACGCAUCCUUUGCUGAGGAUACGGUUAACGGAGCGAAAGCGACGUUCAACCGCAAAAGAAGCAGAGGGGGCUUAGUGGUGGGGUGACUGCGUACCUUUUGUAUAAUGGGUCAGCGACUUAUAUUCUGUAGCAAGGUUAACCGUAUAGGGGAGCCGGAGGGAAACCGAGUCUUAAUUGGGCGUUAAGUUGCAGGGUAUAGACCCGAAACCCGGUGAUCUAGCCAUGGGCAGGUUGAAGGUUGGGUAACACUAACUGGAGGACCGAACCGACUAAUGUUGAAAAAUUAGCGGAUGACCUGUGGCUGGGGGUGAAAGGCCAAUCAAACCGGGAGAUAGCUGGUUCUCCCCGAAAGCUAUUUAGGUAGCGCCUCGUGAAUUCAUCUCCGGGGGUAGAGCACUGUUUCGGCUAGGGGGCCAUCCCGGCUUACCAACCCGAUGCAAACUGCGAAUACCGGAGAAUGUUAUCACGGGAGACACACGGCGGGUGCUAACGUCCGUCGUGAAGAGGGAAACAACCCAGACCGCCAGCUAAGGUCCCAAAGUCAUGGUUAAGUGGGAAACGAUGUGGGAAGGCCCAGACAGCCAGGAUGUUGGCUUAGAAGCAGCCAUCAUUUAAAGAAAGCGUAAUAGCUCACUGGUCGAGUCGGCCUGCGCGGAAGAUGUAACGGGGCUAAACCAUGCACCGAAGCUGCGGCAGCGACGCUGAUGCGUUGUUGGGUAGGGGAGCGUUCUGUAAGCCUGCGAAGGUGGCCUGUGAGGGUUGCUGGAGGUAUCAGAAGUGCGAAUGCUGACAUAAGUAACGAUAAAGCGGGUGAAAAGCCCGCUCGCCGGAAGACCAAGGGUUCCUGUCCAACGUUAAUCGGGGCAGGGUGAGUCGACCCCUAAGGCGAGGCCGAAAGGCGUAGUCGAUGGGAAACGGGUUAAUAUUCCCGUACUUGGUGUUACUGCGAAGGGGGGACGGAGAAGGCUAUGUUGGCCGGGCGACGGUUGUCCCGGUUUAAGCGUGUAGGUGUGUGUUCCAGGUAAAUCCGGUUCACUUUAACACUGAGGCGUGAUGACGAGGCACUACGGUGCUGAAGCAACAAAUGCCCUGCUUCCAGGAAAAGCCUCUAAGCAUCAGGUAACAUCAAAUCGUACCCCAAACCGACACAGGUGGUCAGGUAGAGAAUACCAAGGCGCUUGAGAGAACUCGGGUGAAGGAACUAGGCAAAAUGGUGCCGUAACUUCGGGAGAAGGCACGCUGACACGUAGGUGAAGUGAUUUACUCAUGGAGCUGAAGUCAGUCGAAGAUACCAGCUGGCUGCAACUGUUUAUUAAAAACACAGCACUGUGCAAACACGAAAGUGGACGUAUACGGUGUGACGCCUGCCCGGUGCCGGAAGGUUAAUUGAUGGGGUCAGCGCAAGCGAAGCUCCUGAUCGAAGCCCCGGUAAACGGCGGCCGUAACUAUAACGGUCCUAAGGUAGCGAAAUUCCUUGUCGGGUAAGUUCCGACCUGCACGAAUGGCGUAAUGAUGGCCAGGCUGUCUCCACCCGAGACUCAGUGAAAUUGAACUCGCUGUGAAGAUGCAGUGUACCCGCGGCAAGACGGAAAGACCCCGUGAACCUUUACUAUAGCUUGACACUGAACAUUGAGCCUUGAUGUGUAGGAUAGGUGGGAGGCUUUGAAGUGUGG
rnacentral:rRNA from 1 species